UUAACUAUUAUAUAGUACUCAGACAGUAUAGACAAACAGAGUUUAGGUCCUCUGGCGGGCGCUGACCAGCCGAAGCCGGUGGUCCGAGGACGGGCCCGCCAAAGCAACAAAGGUAUAAUAAACAAAGGGUGGGAGGUAUACCCCGAAGGGCAACGUCUCUUUAAUGAUCCUUCCGCAGGUUCACCUACGGAAA
rnacentral:misc_RNA from 1 species